UUUCCGGUUGAUCCUGCCGGACCUGACUGCUAUCGGAUUGAUACUAAGCCAUGCGAGUCAUUGUAGCAAUACAAGGCAGACGGCUCAGUAACGCGUAGUCAACCUACCCUAUGGACGGGAAUAACCUCGGGAAACUGAGUAUAAUGCCCGAUAGAACACUAUACCUGGAAUGGUUUGUGUUCCAAAUGAUUUAUCGCCGUAGGAUGGGACUGCGGCCUAUCAGUUUGUUGGUGAGGUAAUGGCCCACCAAGACUAUUACAGGUACGGGCUCUGAGAGGAGUGGCCCGGAGAUGGGUACUGAGACACGGACCCAGGCCCUAUGGGGCGCAGCAGGCGAGAAAACUUUGCAAUGUGCGAAAGCACGACAAGGUUAAUCCGAGUGGUUUCUGCUAAAGGAACCUUUUGACAGUCCUAAAACCACUGAUGAAUAAGGGGUGGGCAAGUUCUGGUGUCAGCCGCCGCGGUAAAACCAGCACCUCAAGUGGUCAGGAUGAUUAUUGGGCCUAAAGCAUCCGUAGCCUGUUCUGAAAGUUUCCGGUUAAAUCCAUUAACUCAACUAAUGGGCUGCCGAAAAUACUGCAGAACUAGGGAGUGGGAGAGGUAGACGGUACUCGGUAGGAAGGGGUAAAAUCCUUUGAUCUAUCGAUGACCACCAGUGGCGAAGGCGGUCUACCAGAACACGUUCGACGGUGAGGGAUGAAAGCUGGGGGAGCAAACCGGAUUAGAUACCCGGGUAGUCCCAGCUGUAAACGAUGCAAACUCGGUGAUGCACUGGCUUGUGGCCAGUGCAGUGCCGCAGGGAAGCCGUUAAGUUUGCCGCCUGGGAAGUACGUACGCAAGUAUGAAACUUAAAGGAAUUGGCGGGGGAGCACCACAAGGGGUGAAGCCUGCGGUUCAAUUGGAAUCAACGCCGGA
rnacentral:rRNA from 1 species